CUGCUGCCUCCCGUAGGAGUUUGGGCCGUGUCUCAGUCCCAAUGUGGCCGUUCACCCUCUCAGGCCGACUACUGAUCGUUGCCUUGGUAGGCCAUUACCCCACCAACUAGCUAAUCAGACGCGGAACCAUCGUAUACCACCAGAGUUUUUCACACCGCUUCAUGCGAAGCUGUGCGCUUAUGCGGUAUUAGCACCUAUUUCUAAGUGUUAUCCCCCAGUAUACGGCAGGUUUUCCACGCGUUACUCACCCGUCCGCCA
rnacentral:rRNA from 1 species